rnacentral:rRNA from 1 species
UACGGGGGGGGCAAGCGUUGUUCGGAAUUACUGGGCGUAAAGGGCUCGUAGGCGGCCAACUAAGUCAAACGUGAAAUCCCUCGGCUUAACCGGGGAACUGCGUCUGAUACUGGAUGGCUUGAGGUUGGGAGAGGGAUGCGGAAUUCCAGGUGUAGCGGUGAAAUGCGUAGAUAUCUGGAGGAACACCGGUGGCGAAGGCGGCAUCCUGGACCAAUUCUGACGCUGAGGAGCGAAAGCCAGGGGAGCAAACGGG